GCAGCGACGCCGCGUGGGGGAUGACGGUCUUCGGAUUGUAAACUCCUUUCAGUAGGGACGAAGCGAAAGUGACGGUACCUGCAGAAGAAGCACCGGCCAACUACGUGCCAGCAGCCGCGGUAAUACGUAGGGUGCAAGCGUUGUCCGGAAUUACUGGGCGUAAAGAGCUCGUAGGCGGUUUGUCACGUCGUCUGUGAAAUCCUCCAGCUCAACUGGGGGCGUGCAGGCGAUACGGGCAGACUUGAGUACUACAGGGGAGACUGGAAUUCCUGGUGUAGCGGUGAAAUGCGCAGAUAUCAGGAGGAACACCGGUGGCGAAGGCGGGUCUCUGGGUAGUAACUGACGCUGAGGAGCGAAAGCAUGGGGAGCAAACAGGAUUAGAUACCCUGGUAGUCCAUGCCGUAAACGGUGGGCGCUAGGUGUGGGGUCCUUCCACGGAUUCCGUGCCGUAGCUAACGCAUUAAGCGCCCCGCCUGGGGAGUACGGCCGCAAGGCUAAAACUCAAAGGAAUUGACGGGGGCCCGCACAAGCGGCGGAGCAUGUGGAUUAAUUCGAUGCAACGCGAAGAACCUUACCUAGGCUUGACAUAUACAGGACGACGGCAGAGAUGUCGUUUCCCUUGUGGCUUGUAUACAGGUGGUGCAUGGUUGUCGUCAGCUCGUGUCGUGAGAUGUUGGGUUAAGUCCCG
rnacentral:rRNA from 2 species